rnacentral:rRNA from 1 species
GACGAACGCUGGCGGCGUGCUUAACACAUGCAAGUCGAACGGAGAGGCCCGGCUUUUGUGGGAUUCUCGAGUGCCGAAAGGGUGAGUAACACGUGAGUGGCCUGCCCUUGACUGUGGGAUACCUUCAGUAAACUGGGGCGAAUACCCGAUAUGACCUCCUUCUGCAUGGUUGGUGUGGGAGAGUGUCGGCGUUUGGGGAUGGACUCGAGGAUUAUCAGCGUAUUGGUGGGGUAGUGGAUUACCCAGGCUUUGACGGGUAGCCGGACUGAGAGGGUGACCGGCCACAUUGGGACUGAGAUAGCGGCAAGACUGAUACGGGAGGCAGCAGCGGGGAAUAUUGCAAAAUGGGCGGAAGGCUGAUGGAGCAACGCCGCGUGGGGGAUGACGGUCUGUGGGUUGUAACCUGCUUUAGCCUGUGAAGAAGAGUGAGUGACGGUAAUGGGUAAAGAAGCAACGGCUAACUACGUG